rnacentral:misc_RNA from 1 species
ACGAGUUAGGGUCUUCCAGGCCCGACCUCCCAACCCUAUGUUUACUGUACCAUUGUUGCUUCGGUGGGUCCGUCUAACGACCGCCGGGGGACCGCCGCGAGGCCCCCCUGGCCAGCGCCCGCCGAUAGCCAAACUUAAACCCUUAUGAAUCGUGUCUUAUGUCUAAAUCAUGAUUAAAAAUCAAAACA